CUAGAUCUGACUGAGUGCUCCAGCCGCACGCGGAUUCUGCGGCGCCCAGCAGCGAGACCGCAUCUCGCCGUUGCUGAUCUGCAGAGGCAAAAGCGGUCGCCGGGAGGCCACAGGAGAGUAUAAGAGAUUGCUCUCCUGUUCGUGGCGCUGGGACCAUGAGCUAUGUCGUCUGAUUGAACGACCAGCUUGUUCCUUGCCGUCCGUGGCAGAGAUGGGUAGGGAUAAGUAUAUGAAUGUCUUAUACUACUCUCCAUCCUCCUCCUCCUCUGUCCUAGCAGUAUAUAUGUACUUUAUUAGUUGUAAAUGUUAAGUAAUUCAGAGGUAACGUUGAGUUACUUGUCAUUGAUGUGUAUUGCAUUUUUUAGGGAAUGAAACUUAUAUUAUUUUGUUUUUGAUAUUCUGUCCAAUUUUGAUUGUUGUCUAUUCAACACAUCCGUAGCAAUUAUAUGAAGUUUUCUAUAUUAAAAGGUAAAUCCAUUGUAUCCAUCUACUACGUAUGCCAAUCUUUGUUAUGCUCAUUGUCUUCUCUGCACUUGUUAACAUGUGUAUAUAUGAGAGGUGUCAGAAAAUGGUAAUCUGCAUUAGCAUGUAAUUGAUCUCUUUGCAUUUGUAGAGUCAAACGCGGAGGAAAGUUGUGGGAUCUCUCUGCAUUUUUGUGAGAGUUUGGAUUUUUUUGGAGAGAUUGCAUCUCUACAUUUUUGUGGGGAGGAUUGUGGAGUUUGGCCAUGUUUGGUUAUUGAGAGAUUUUACCCUGUACGUGCCAAAUUUUUUUAAUUAUGGGAUGGUUUGAUCGCUUGUGGGAUGGUCCAGCCUGUUUUUUUAGAGUUGAUGUCCAGCUUAUUGGGAUCGUGAGAUUGAGUGUAGAGGUCCGAACUUGUUACGAUCUCACGUCCGAGAGAUUUACCCUGGUUGCAACAUUAUGGGUCCAAUCUGUUGUGAUCUCAUGUUACGGGGCCACCUUGUUUAUAAAGAUCUAACGGUCGUACUUUGUUGAUUGGAAAUAGGCACACAUAAUUAAAGGCCGGAUGUUUCUAAUUGUUGUGGGAUUUUUUAAGCUAAUUAUCUUUAUUCUGGUGAACCUGUCAACACGUCCCAGAAAUUUUACCUUGGGGUAGGGAUAAGUAUAUCAAUGUCUUACUACUCUCCCAUCCUCAUCCUCUCUCCUAGCAGUAUAUAUGUAAUUUAUUAGUUGAUUCACUUAGUUGAUAUAAAUGUUAAGUGAUUCAGAGGUAAUGUUCAGUUACUUAGUUAUUUUGUUAAAUUGCAAUUUAGAUGAUAACCUCAUACAUUCUGUUGUUAUUCAUGUAACUGAGUAUCAUUUAUAGGAUAUAAAUUAUAGAGUAAUUUUACUUGUCAUUGAUGUGUAUUACAUUUUUUAGGGAAUGAGAUGUAUAUUUUUUAUUUGAUAUUUUGUCCAGUUUUGAUUAUUGUCUCUUGAACACAUCCGUAGCAAUUAUAUGAAGUUUUGUAUAUUAAAAGGUAAAUCCAUUGUAUCCAUCUACUAUGUAUAAGCCAAUCUUUGUUAUGCUGAUUGUCUUCUAUGCGCCUGUUAACAUGUAUAUACAUGAUAGCGGUGUCAGAAAAUGGUAAUCUGCAUUAGAAUUGAUUGAUCUCUUUCCAUUUGUAGGGAGUCAAACGCGAAGGCAAGUUGUGGGCUUCCUAGUUGCUACUGCUUUAGGCUUCCACCUAUGUAAUGUGUGCUACAACUUCGCAUCAUUCCUACAUCCCUCCACAUCGGCUUAUUCUUCAUAGGUAUGUUUCCCCUGUCUAGUUGGAUAAAAAUAUGUUAUUUUUAUUUGUUGUUACCAUAUUAGCAAGUUAUAUUACUGAUAUGUGUAUUAAACCAAAGCAAGACGGGUUACAUUUGUUAGAUGAAAUUUAGUUCAUGUGUCUUGAUUGAUGUGCAAAGAAUCGCACCUAUUAUAGGCGAUGCCCAUAGUACGGGAGCUUUUCUCAUGGCCGUCUUCAACUCAAAGUAUGUAGGAAAAAGAGUGCAUACCAAGAACAUGAAACUCACAAAAGUGCAUAUCUGAUAGCCCUAAUUGUAUCGACUGAUUUGAAGUAUUAUUUCACUAUCUCAAUAACGUAAAUGGUUUGCCUUACUUUCAACAUAUUUAUUAUGUACCCUCUAGCGCUUCUUCAGAUUUUCCAUCCGAUGAGUUCAACAACUUUUCCAUAUCAUAGUGCAGAGUAAAUAUAAUUCUCCCUUCGAUCCAUAUUAAUUGUCGCUGACUUAGUACAACUUUGUACAGUGACAAUUAAAAUGGAUCAUAGGGAGUAGGAAAUUUCAUAUUCAAGUCAGUAGAAUAUACUUACUGGGCUGUUAUAAUUUCUGUAUAUAACCGCAACCGUUGCAGUAAAUAUACUUGUCAGUCUCCUUUGUAUUUAGUUUGCGACAAUCACCACAUGACCAUUGGAUAUUUUCUAGUAACAGAUCUAUUAUAGCUAUGGUCGUUAAAGUGAAAUCCUAAAAGUUUUACCCAAAAGCUCAAAGUUAGGAAUCUAAAGAAGUUGAGAGACGUAAAUAAUUAAAAUAUGGCUCCAUUAUAACUGAUAUGACUCAAAAAUAAACAUGCGUCAUGAUUCAUUAGUUGAUAAAUAAGAGUGAAAGAUAGUGUUCCAUACCUGUCAAGAAGUUUUUGAGUUUUGGCUCUAUCUAGAUUUGUAUAUAUUAUUGUGGCACCGGUUAACUUUACGACCCUAUGAAAUCAAUGACAAAUCUAUUAGAUUUUUGUUUCUUUGUAAAUAACAGAGGAUCUUAUAACAUAAUUGGACUUACUUUUGGACUUAAUUACUUUGCAGUUAGAAAUAUUAACAGACAAAAAUACAAUUUGCAUGUUUGUUUAAAAUAGUAGAACAGUCUGUAAUUAAAUAUGAUGAUUAAAGUUUUUUGUCUAUCAAAGUCAUAAGGAGGCUCAUGAGUUGGUCGGUUGUAUGGUUGAUAGAAUCCCAUAUUCUCACUACUCUCACUUGAAUGUUCUAGUUUGUGUUUUUGUUGCUCAAUAAGCUUCUUGCACGCCAUAGUGUUUUGACAGCAAAAGGAUUCGAAAAUUGUUAGUUGGUUAUGUAUGAAGCUUUUAUCCCAAUAUAAGUGAACUAAUUAAUAUUUACAAACCUUCUUGAUUCAGAUGAGAGGUUGUUGGUACCUCAGCAGGUCGGUCGUGACUUCAUUGGGCAUCGAGUUGCACGAUGAUGUCGAUGUUCGUACGACAUCGUGUCGCAGAAUCACAUGCUUCAAUUUGUAGCACCCUGACUAUGCUUAACGGCUUGGAUAAUUCCAGUGGAAUGGCUGUAGGAUUACCUCCUCCUUGUCGCCUCGGCCACCGCCACUUCUUUGGAGCUUGCAUCCACGCCCAUCAUGUGUUAGCUGUUCGGGGCCCUCUGUCGUAUUCGUAUAUGUGAUGUAGGUCAUUCUCUCUCCCUCGGCAAGCCUAGCUUUCUUUGCUAUUGUUGGUCUCCGGCGGUGAGACUUCGUCCUUGAUCAGGUCAUCUUCCCAAGGAUUUAAGGAAAGCCUCUAUAUCAUAGACUAUUAAUUGAGAUGAUUAGGUUCCUGUGAUAGGAGCCAAAGUGAUUGUUCCUCCACCGCCUACAUUUAAUCUGAUCGAGCGAUCAGUGAGAUUAAAAAAGUACUUCCUUAUAAUGACGUGACCUGGUUCUGUGCGUGCCUAUUUUUUCUUCCUUCAAUGAGGUUAUCUGGUUCCGUGCAUGCCUACUUUUUUCUUUUGCAAACGGAAUUAUUGUAUCGUUCCUGCAUACAUGGUUUGGCGUACGGGUCCGUUAGUCCGUUCAGACCUUAACU
rnacentral:lncRNA from 1 species